rnacentral:rRNA from 1 species
AUUGAACGCUGGCGGCAGGCCUAACACAUGCAAGUCGAGCGAGCGGCGGACGGGUGAGUAAUGUCUGGGAAACUGCCUGUUGGCUGGGGAUAACUACUGGAAACGGUAGCUAAUACCGCAUACCAUCAGAUGUGCCCAGAUGGGAUUAGCUAGUCGGUGGGUUAACGGCCCACCUAGGCGACGAUCCCUAGCUGGUCUGAGAGGAUGACCAGCCACACUGGAACUGAGACACGGUCCAGACUCCUACGGGAGGCAGCAGUGGGGAAUAUUGCACAAUGGGCGCAAGCCUGAUGCAGCCAUGCCGCGUGUGUGAAGAAGGCCUUCGGGUUGUAAAGCACUGUCAGCGGGGAGGCGUUACCCGCAGAAGAAGCACCGGCUAACUCCGUGCCAGCCGCCGCGGUAAUUC